rnacentral:rRNA from 1 species
UACAGAGGGUGCGAGCGUUGUCCGAAAUCACUGGGCGUAAAGGGCGCGUAGGUGGUGACCUAAGCGUGCGGUGAAAGCCCGAGGCUCAACCUCGGGUCGGCCGUGCGAACUGGGUCACUGGAGCAGAAUAGAGGCAGGUGGAAUUCCGGGUGUAGCGGUGGAAUGCGUAGAGAUCCGGAAGAACACCGGUGGCGAAGGCGGCCUGCUGGGUUCUGGCUGACACUGAGGCGCGACAGCGUGGGGAGCAAACAGG